rnacentral:rRNA from 1 species
UACGUAGGGGGCAAGCGCUGUCCGGAUUUACUGGGCGUAAAGGAUGCGUAGGCGGACAUUUAAGUCAGAUGUGAAAUACCCGAGCUUAACUUGGGUGCUGCAUUUGAAACUGGGUGUCUAGAGUGCAGGAGAGGUAAGUGGAAUUCCUAGUGUAGCGGUGAAAUGCGUAGAGAUUAGGAAGAACACCAGUGGCGAAGGCGACUUACUGGACUGUAACUGACGCUGAGGCAUGAAAGCGUGGGGAGCAAACAGG